AGCUUUGCUGGCUUGUGGCAGCAGCAGCGAUCCCUGGAACAGAUGCUACCAGCAAGGCAGUGCAAACAGUAGAGGACAUGAUGCCAUGCACAUCAUGCCAACGGCUUCAAGAAGAGAGCAAACAACUUCAAGAAGAAGUGGCCAUGCUCACGCGAAAAUAUGAAGCAUCGCAACCAUUGUAAGAGCAGCGCUUAAUUGACUGAUAGAGCAGGCGAAUGCUAAUUGUGCCAGGAUCACAAAUCUGUAUAUGUUGUACAUCAUGUAUAGUUUUCGUCAUUUGAAUGUAAUAAAAUACUUUCUGUUUCGACCA